ACUGGGGCCAACGCUGUUUGUUAAUUUACAUUCCCCCACCCAUGGCGUCCUGCUGGCAGUUGGAACCACGCUCCUCGCCCGCCACUACUGAUGACCGUUUUUGACGGCGGUGAGCGAGGAGGACAUGCGAGGCAGAGUUGCCAAAAGAUCAGAUGCUUUUGAGCAACAAUCGUUCCACGUCUGUGCACGUUUGCACAUCGGCUGGCAACUGGACAUCCAAGUCUGAGCGUGGCCAUGAACCCAGGACCUACGCGGCAACCCCUCGUCACGGCUAGCGUCGUCCUCUACGAGCUUCGCAUCGAGCGUCCUAAACGCUCACGAGGCAUUUAUAUUUGCUUUGUUCAUUUUUCUGGAUGGUCUAGCUGGCGAGGGUGGCGCACGCCUUAGAGAAGUUAACUGUUUGUUCAGUUCCACUAGCUAGCGCUUACUAGGAUGUAUGGCUACAUCACAAGAUCACGUAAAGUUAGUUUUGUUGCUUAGCUGUAAGCCCGAGGUUUCGUGGGCAUGGCGUGCGGCCACACGGGUCUUCUCCGUGCCGGAAUCGAAGAGGACGGGCC
rnacentral:lncRNA from 1 species